CACGAAGUUAGCCGGGGCUUCUUCUCCGGCUACAGUCAUUAUCUUCACCGGUGAAAGGAUUUUACAAUCCUAAGACCUUCAUCAUCCACGCGGCAUGGCUGCGUCAGGCUUUCGCCCAUUGCACAAGAUUCCCCACUGCUGCCUCCCGUAGGAGUUUGGGCCGUGUCUCAGUCCCAAUGUGGCUGGUCAUCCUCUCAGACCAGCUACUGAUCGUCGCCUUGGUGAGCCAUUACCUCACCAACAAGCUAAUCAGACGCGGGCCGCUCUAAAGGCGAUAAAUCUUUCCCCCGAAGGGCACAUUCGGUAUUAGACCCAGUUUCCCGGGCUUAUUCCGAACCUAAAGGCACGUUCCCACGUGUUACUCACCCGUCCGCCACUAGCUCCGAAGAGCCCGUUCGACUUGCAUGUGUUAGGCCUGCCGCCAGCGUUCGCUCUGAGCCAGGAUCAAACUCU
rnacentral:rRNA from 1 species